GUGCCAGCAGCCGCGGUAAGACAGAGGGUGCAAACGUUGCUCGGAAUUACUGGGCGUAAAGCGCGUGUAGGCGGGCCGGCAAGUCAGGUGUGAAAUCCCCGGGCUCAACUCGGGAACUGCACUUGAAACUGCCGGUCUGGAGUGCCGGAGAGGGUAGUGGAAUUCCUGGUGUAGAGGUGAAAUUCGUAGAUAUCAGGAGGAACACCGGUGGCGAAGGCGGCUACCUGGACGGUUACUGACGCUGAGACGCGAAAGCGUGGGGAGCAAACAGGAUUAGAAACCCCCGUAGUCC
rnacentral:rRNA from 1 species